rnacentral:rRNA from 1 species
UACAGAGGGUGCAAACGUUGUUCGGAAUUACUGGGCGUAAAGCGCGUGUAGGCGGCUAAGCAAGUCGGGCGUGAAAUCCCACCGCUCAACGGUGGAAGUGCACUCGAAACUGCAUAGCUAGAGUCCUGGAGAGGAAGGUGGAAUGCUUGGUGUAGAGGUGAAAUUCGUAGAUAUCAAGCGGAACACCGGUGGCGAAGGCGGCCUUCUGGACAGUGACUGACGCUGAGACGCGAAAGCGUGGGGAGCAAACAGG